GUGUUUGCUUCAGGAACACAUGUACUAAAAAUGAAAUGUUUCAGGGAAGGUUAGCAUGGGCCCUGUACAAGGAUGACUUGCACAUUUUGUAGCAGUCCAUGUUAAUU